AACGAACGCUGGCGGCAUGCCUAACACAUGCAAGUCGAACGAGACCUUCGGGUCUAGUGGCGCACGGGUGCGUAACGCGUGGGAACCUGCCCUUAGGUUCGGAAUAACUCCCCGAAAGGGGUGCUAAUACCGGAUAAUGUCUUCGGACCAAAGAUUUAUCGCCUUUGGAUGGGCCCGCGUUGGAUUAGCUAGUUGGUAGGGUAAAAGCCUACCAAGGCAACGAUCCAUAGCUGGUCUGAGAGGAUGAUCAGCCACACUGGGACUGAGACACGGCCCAGACUCCUAGGAGGGGAAGCAGGGGGGAAUAUUGAACACUGGCCGAAAGCCUAAACAAGCAGUGCCGAGGAAGUGAUGAAGGCAUUAGGGUUGUAAAGCUCUUUUACCCGGAAUGCUACGGACAGUACCGGGGAAAUAAGCACCGGCUAACUCGUG
rnacentral:rRNA from 1 species